rnacentral:rRNA from 1 species
GGACCCGCACAAGCGGUGGAGCAUGUGGUUUAAUUCGAAGCAACGCGAAGAACCUUACCAAAUCUUGACAUCCUUUGACAACUCUAGAGAUAGAGCCUUCCCCUUCGGGGGACAAAGUGACAGGUGGUGCAUGGUUGUCGUCAGCUCGUGUCGUGAGAUGUUGGGUUAAGUCCCGCAACGAGCGCAACCCUUAAGCUUAGUUGCCAUCAUUAAGUUGGGCACUCUAAGUUGACUGCCGGUGACAAACCGGAGGAAGGUGGGGAUGACGUCAAAUCAUCAUGCCCCUUAUGAUUUGGGCUACACACGUGCUACAAUGGACAAUACAAAGGGCAGCGAAACCGCGAGGUCAAGCAAAUCCCAUAAAGUUGUUCUCAGUUCGGAUUGUAGUCUGCAACUCGACUACAUGAAGCUGGAAUCGCUAGUAAUCG